rnacentral:rRNA from 2 species
UACGGAGGGGGCUAGCGUUGUUCGGAAUUACUGGGCGUAAAGCGCACGUAGGCGGACUGAAAAGUUGGAGGUGAAAUCCCAGGGCUCAACCUUGGAACUGCCUUCAAAACUAUCAGUCUGGAGUUCGAGAGAGGUGAGUGGAAUUCCGAGUGUAGAGGUGAAAUUCGUAGAUAUUCGGAGGAACACCAGUGGCGAAGGCGGCUCACUGGCUCGAUACUGACGCUGAGGUGCGAAAGCGUGGGGAGCAAACAGG